AGAGUUUGAUCCUGGCUCAGGAUGAACGCUCUUUGAAGCCUGACACAUGCAAGUCGGACGGACACCUUCGGCCGUAGCCUAGGACGGGUGAGUAACGCGUAGGAAUCUACCCCUAGGAGGGGGAUAACAGCUGGAAACGGCUGCUAAUACCCCAUACAGGCGCGAGCUGAAAGGAGCAAUCCGCCUAGGGAUGAGCCUGCGUCGGAUUAGCUAGUUGGUGGGGUAAUGGCCUACCAAGGCGACGAUCCGUAGCGGGUCUGAGAGGAUGGCCCGCCACACUGGGACUGAGACACGGCCCAGACUCCUACGGGAGGCAGCAGUGGGGAAUUUUCCGCAAUGGGCGAAAGCCUGACGGAGCAAUACCGCGUGAGGGAGGAAGGCCUUCGGGUUGUAAACCUCUUUUCUGGGGGACGAAGGAGUGACGGUACCCCAGGAAUAAGCCUCGGCUAACUCUGUGCCAGCAGCCGCGGUAAGACAGAGGAGGCGAGCGUUAUCCGGAGUUAUUGGGCGUAAAGGGUACGUAGGCGGCUGGUCAAGUCUGGGGUUAAAGACCACAGCUUAACUGUGGGGGGGCCUUGGAAACUGACCGGCUGGAGUGGGGCAGGGGUUGCGGGAAUUCCCGGUGUAGCGGUGAAAUGCGUAGAUAUCGGGAAGAACACCUGAGGCGAAAGCGCGCAACUGGGCCCUAACUGACGCUGAGGUACGAAAGCUAGGGGAGCGAAUGGGAUUAGAUACCCCAGUAGUCCUAGCCGUAAACGAUGGACACUAGACGUUGGCCGUAUCGACCCGGUCAGUGUCGUAGCUAACGCGUUAAGUGUCCCGCCUGGGGAGUACGCACGCAAGUGUGAAACUCAAGGAUUGACAGGGGCCCGCACAAGCGUGGAGCAUGUUGGUUUAAUUCUAUGCAAGCGGAGAAACAUUACCAGGGCUUGACAUGCCGCGAACACCUCCGAAACAUAGGGGGUGGGUCAC
rnacentral:rRNA from 1 species